ensembl:lncRNA
AAAAGGAUUAAGCCCUCAGAAGGAGGUUACACACUAAGAAGAACUUCACAUAAAGUGGAAGAUAUAUCCAACCAAACAGAUGAACAAAUCUCAAGAUAGGAACACAGUAUGCAAAAGCAUGAUCAAGUUUGGUGAGACAUGGACAUUUAACAUCAGUUAGAAUGCCAACGUGGCACCUGCUUCUCAUCGGACAGGACGGGCACUGACUGUGCACUGGAAAUUGAGGGUUUUUAUGGGAACAUCUUCAACUUGAAGAGAGAUAAACAACUGCGGUCACUCAAUUCUUAACGUAGUCACUGGAAUAAAAAUGAGGGCAACUGAAAUGAAUACAAACCUCCACACAGACACUCUAAAG